AUUUCUUACUAUAAUUGCGAUGCAGCAUACGGUAGGAGUAGGUGUACUUCUUUUUGUGUUCAGUUAUUAUGGAGAAUGUUCACAUUUCAGAGGAGGAACUAUAAGCUGGAAACCUAUACAUGGCCAUACGGUAAGACAAAACACUCCAACUAAAAACAUAUAUGACAAACAAAUUUGUGGCAUGCGAUUUUACAUACUGUAAAUCUAAACAAAUCUAUAACUACACUAUAAAAAAAACUAGUCUAUAUUUCACAUCUCAAAUCAGAUUAGGUCGUAGAGGGAAAACCUUUGAUUGAAAAAGAAAAUUGUUUAUUCUAUUGUAUAAAAUCAUAAAAUAACCAGUUGGUUUACACAUUGUUCAAUGUCUUCUCUUGGUAAGCAUUGAUGAUGUGGUUAAGUCAAACAAUGUUUUAAUGUACAUGUCAAUAUUUAAUUUAUUUCUUGCCAAUAUUUCUCUUAAAGUACAAACAUAAAUUGCUGUAAGAAUGACAAUCUUAUUGAUGAUGUUGGAUCACAAGAUUGUAUUAGUAUUUGCCGGGUUUACUAUCCAGUCGACCCCGACGAAAAAAUCGCUUUUCUGGGUUCGUAUGGAUAGUAAUCACGGCAAAUGGUAACAAACCCCUGUGGUUGGAUUAGUUAAUACAUCGUUUGCUAAAUGAUGGUGAAUUAAAUACAUGCCUGUCUAGUUGCAUUAUUAGUUGCCUUUUUGACUUAAAUACUUGAACUGUAAAUUCCAUUCUGUGAUUUCCAAAUUAAUCCGUAAAACAUAUGAUUUCGUUCGAUAAAAAGGUUAUUCGAAUGACACUUAUGAUCUAAACGUAGACCAUUUACUAUUUCAGCCCAAAGAUGGCAUAGGGAAGGGGCUGAUUAUCCUAAUAAAGUUGUACUAUAAAUAUUGUAGAUUGAAUUCACAUUCAAAAUGGGAUGGACUUUUGGAAGUGGACCAGGAUGUUCAAAUAGCAAAAUCGGACAGUUUGUUAACACAACAUUUAUAGGUGAUAAAAUCUGGAAAUGUGAUCAAGGUUGUAACGUGCCAAAGAAACCAGUAGGUACUGUUUUCUAUUAUUGUACUGGUGCCAAUGAAAUCGGUACUGAUGCUGAAAAAUGGGAACAAGGAGAAAAUCGUUUUCAAGAGACAUUCAU
rnacentral:lncRNA from 1 species